UUAAAAUUAUAGCCAAACAAACCUAAACUACCAAAAAACAAAACAAACCAUUUAAUUUAAUAGUAUGGGCGAUAGAAAUUUAUUAUGAGCAAUAAAAAAAGUACCGUAAGGGAAAGAUGAAAUAAAAAUGAAAUAAAUAAUAAAAACAAAAAAAAGAAAAGGCUAAACCCUGUACCUUUUGCAUAAUGGUCUAGCAAGUCCAACCUAACAAAAAGAAAUAAAGUUAGCCACCCCGAAACUAGACGAGCUACUUAAGAGCAGCAUUAACCAGAGCCAACCCGUCUCUGUGGCAAAAGAGUGGGAUGACUUUUGAGUAGAGGUGAAAAGCCUAACGAGCCUAGUGAUAGCUGGUUACUUGAGAAAUGAAUAUUAGUUCAGCUUAAAGCAUCUUUAUUAUUAAAAAAUAAAAAUAGCACUUUAAAGUUAAUUAAUAGGGGUACAGCCCUAUUAAUAAAGGAUACAACCUACAUAAUGAAUAAAGAUUAUAUUAACAAAAGAAAUUAACCGCGUAGGCCUAAAAGCAGCCACCACAAGAAAGCGUCAAAGCUCAACUUAACAACCCCCCUUAUUAUACUAAUAAAAAAAUCUAAAUUCACAAAACAUAUCAAGCCCAUCUACUAGUAGAUAAGUUUAUACUAGAAUGAGUAACAAGAACAAAUUCUCUACAUGCAAGCGUAAAUCAGAACGAAAGCAUCACUGAUAAUUAACAACUUUAAACACCCAACAACAAGAAAAACACAUUAAAACAAUUGUUAACCCAACACAGGAGCAUAAAAAAAGAUUUAAAGAUUAAAAAGGAACUCGGCAACCAUAGAGCUCCGCCUGUUUACCAAAAACACCGCCUCUUGCCCUCCCAAUAUAAGAGGUCCCGCCUGCCCAGUGAUUAAUUUUAACGGCCGCGGUAUCAUGACCGUGCAAAGGUAGCGUAAUCACUUGUCUUUUAAAUAAAGACCUGUAUGAAAGGCAAAACGAAAGCUCAACUGUCUCUUUAAUCUAAUCAGUG
rnacentral:rRNA from 1 species